CCCAGGGUGAGCCCGAGGCCCCGCCUAGAGGGCGGGGGGCAGGAGGCGCCGGGCUUUAAAUGGGGCGUCCGGCCGGGGUGGCGAGGCGCUGCGGCCGAGGGGGAGCAAACCGGCCAUCCCCGCCGAGGGGCCAGCGGGCCAGUCGCCGAGGGAGCGCGGGCGCCGGGCCGACAUGCCGCCGGGGGACCGGGAGCUGCGCCGCGGCCGCUGGCCCUCGCUGCUGCUGCACUGCGCGCUCCACCGGCUCUGGGGCUUCCUGCAGGUGACACACGGGGAGCCCCAGAAGUCCUGCUCCAAGGUGACCAACAGCUGCCAGCACGUCUGCCAGUGCCGGCCCCCUCCCCCGCUGCCCCCGCCGCCCCCACCGCCGCCGCCCCCCAGACUCCUCUCCCCUCCAGCCCCAGGCUCUACCUCGUGCCCUGUGGAAGAGAGCUGGAGGUCCGGCCUGGCCAUCAUCAUUGCGAUUUGCUGCGCCUCCCUGGUGUUCCUCACCGUGCUGGUCAUCACCUGCUACAAAGCCAUCAAGAGGAAACCACUGAGGAAAGCAGAGAACGGCACAGGCGUUGCCGAGUACCCCAUGAGCUCCUCGCCCGGCGGCAAAGGCGUGGACAUGAACAGCGCCGUGGUAUGAGCAAGGGCCCCGUGGCGCUGGUGGGCAUGGCGGCGCAGGGGGGCACAAGCUGACCCCGGGCUUGUCCAGGGAUUCAUCGCCUCACGAAGACACGUCCUCCUUCCAGCCUCGUGCCCGGCCUAUGGGUGGGGAUGGCAAGCCCCCUGCAUGCACCCCCACCCGGGAGCACCCCGCCCAAGGCCCCACUCCCUGAGCUGGGCUUGCGUUCCAUCCGCUGGCUGAGUCCCACCUACUUUCUGCAGCAGAGACAGGGCGUGUCUGUCUGUCCAUCUGUCUGCUGGGAUGGAGAGGCAUCCCCUGUAGGCAGACAGGUGGCUGGGGUGUCCUCCGUUGGCAGAAGGCCCCCCAUGUCCCCCAGAGACUCACCUGCUUCCGCCUGUCCACAUGGUUCCCAACAGCCACGAGACACCUCCUUCUAAGGUGCUCCCCAGACUCCCGCCCGCCCUCCUGUGCUGGUCUGUGGCCUCGGGGCCUGUCUUCCCUGUCCGCUCCACUCUGGCCCGGGGACCCAUUCUGCCUCCCUGCCACGGAGGACUGAGCCCAGCCUGCAGAGUUCCCCCCGACGGGGCAGAGGAGCCCCUCCCCACAUAGGGGCUGUGCCUGGCCUUUGGGGAGGGUGGGGCACAUGCACCCCCACCUGUGCCCAGCCUCAUCCCCACACCUGACACCAGGCUGUGAGCCACGCCACGCCCACACCCCACAGAGGCCACCCCAGGUGCCACCACCCCUGCAAGACUGGGCUGGAGGCCAGGCCUCCUGCCUUCCAAUGGCCACCUUGAAAUGUCUCUUUCUGGGGGUCUCAUGGUCUACAAGGGCAUGUGCUUCAGGUUGCCAGUGGGCUGGGCAGGGAGGCUUCAGACCUGUGUCCAGGGCGCCCCGCAGACGCAGGGGGGCUGGGCCUUGAGACCCUCUGUCCCUCGGCCCCGUGCCAGCGCACGCCAGGCUCCAGGAGAGCAGAGGGGACAGCGGGCCCACUGUCACGCCCCCCACGGGUGCAGGCCUAGGCGCACCCUCUCAGGAAGGCUGCCAUCUUGCAGGCCUUGGGUGCAGCUUGAGUGUGCUCCUCUCCCCCAGGGCACUGUGCCACCGUCCUGCGGCCAUCUCCUGCCCCCGCUUGGCCCAGGCCUCCGAGCUCUGCGUGUGAACUAAGCACUGACCUGCUUCCUGCGGCCCUGAGGCCCAGUGGCUCCACCUCAGUGGCAUGUGCCCACCGGCCACCGAUGCCAACAGCGUGCCGAGACUACCGGAAGCAGGGCCGGCGGCUGGGCUGUGAGCUGCUCGUGAGGACCGGGGCACCACGCCGUUUUUAUUUUCAAUAAAAACGUACUUAUAAA